GAGUUUUGCGGAAUGAUACGUGGUGUGGCGUCGGGGUUGUGAUACCCGCCCCCUUGGAGAUGGGCAGCGGGGUCAUCAGUGAUCUUGAUCACUUUCUUCAGGCUUUUGCCACUUGUUGGCUGAGGGUCGAUUUACUCCCUUAGCUGCGUCACUCUACUUUCUCCACUUUCUCCACCUGUAAGAAGAGAGAUUGAUCCGAUUACUUCUAAGACGUUUUUUAGCCCAACCUGGCCACACUGCG
rnacentral:lncRNA from 1 species